AUGACAACCCUCCUCAGUUCACACACCUCCCUACUGGCAAAGAGCUCAAUUUACAGGUGUGGGCGGGUUUACCAGUGGGCUCAGUGAUCACCAGCAUGUUUGCUAAGGACCUGGAUGCAGGGGAAAACGGAACGGUCAAGUUCUCUCUGGAAACAGACCUGGACCACUUUGAGAUCGACCAGCG